GGCUCGGUAGCUUAGUGUUGGUAAAGCACUUAUCUAGCGAAUAAGGGUCGUGAGUUCAAAUCUCACCUAAGCUG
rnacentral:tRNA from 1 species